UGGGAUGUAGCACAACGGUUAGUGCGUCCGUCUGAUACGCGGAUGACCACGGUUCGACUCCGUGCUUCCCUA
rnacentral:tRNA from 1 species